rnacentral:rRNA from 1 species
AUUGAACGCUGGCGGCAGGCCUAACACAUGCAAGUCGAGCGGAUGAAGGGAGCUUGCUCCUGGAUUCAGCGGCGGACGGGUGAGUAAUGCCUAGGAAUCUGCCUGGUAGUGGGGGAUAACGUCCGGACACGGGCGCUAAUACCGCAUACGUCCUGAGGGAGAAAGUGGGGGAUCUUCGGACCUCACGCUAUCAGAUGAUCCUAGGUCGGAUUAGCUAGUUGGUGGGGUAAAGGCCUACCAAGGCGACGAUCCGUAACUGGUCUGAGAGGAUGAUCAGUCACACUGGAACUGAGACACGGUCCAGACUCCUACGGGAGGCAGCAGUGGGGAAUAUUGGACAAUGGGCGAAAGCCUGAUCCAGCCAUGCCGCGUGUGUGAAGAAGGUCUUCGGAUUGUAAAGCACUUUAAGUUGGGAGGAAGGGCAGUAAGUUAAUACCUUGCUGUUUUGACGUUACCAACAGAAUAAGCACCGGCUAACUUCGUG